rnacentral:piRNA from 1 species
UGACAAGGUCCUGCUUUCGCUCC